GAGGGAGGAUGCAAGCGUUAUCCGGAAUUAUUGGGCGUAAAGGGUGCGUAGGUGGUCAGACAAGUCCCAUGUCAAAGCAUGGUGCUUAACGCCAUAAAGGCGUGGGAAACUGUGUGACUAGAGUACAGCAGGGGCAGGAGGAAUUCCCGGUGUAGCGGUGAAAUGCGUAGAUAUCGGGAAGAACACCAGUGGCGCAAGCGUUCUGCUGGGCUGUAACUGACACUGAGGCACGAAAGCUAGGGGAGCGAAAGGG
rnacentral:rRNA from 1 species